rnacentral:rRNA from 1 species
AUGGCGCAGUCCCAUGACCAGGUGCUCGCCUCCGCCUCCCUCCUGCACCGUCCGGUGACCGUGCUCCCUGUCCCGCUCGGCGACCUCGCUGCUCCGACGACCCCAAGCUCCGCCUUAAAGGCCAUGAUGCUGUUGCGAGGCGGUGGUUUUCCGUUGGCGGUGGUGCCUUCCGGUCCCGGUGAUGUUGUGGUUGUGGUGGGUCCUCCGGUGGCGGUGCUGACAUCCAGGGGUGCUGUGGUGGUGGUGCUGUCCACCGGAUCUCCUGCUGGUGCUGUCGACGUCCGUGUCCGCUGA